rnacentral:rRNA from 1 species
UACGGAGGAUCCAAGCGUUAUCCGGAAUUACUGGGCGUAAAGAGUUGCGUAGGUGGCAUCGUAAGCGGGUAGUGAAAGCGUGUGGCUCAACCAUACUCACAUUAUCCGAACUGCGAAGCUAGAGGACGAGAGAGGUUAUUGGAAUUCUCAGUGUAGGAGUGAAAUCCGUAGAUAUUGGGAGGAACACCGAUGGCGUAGGCAGAUAACUGGCUCGUUCCUGACACUAAGGCACGAAAGCGUGGGUAGCAAACGGG